rnacentral:rRNA from 1 species
AACGAACGCUGGCGGCAUGCCUAACACAUGCAAGUCGAACGAGACCUUCGGGUCUAGUGGCGCACGGGUGCGUAACGCGUGGGAACCUGCCCUUAGGUUCGGAAUAACUCCCCGAAAGGGGUGCUAAUACCAGAUAAUGUCUUCGGACCAAAGAUUUAUCGCCUUUGGAUGGGCCCGCGUUGGAUUAGCUAGUUGGUAGGGUAAAAGCCUACCAAGGCGACGAUCCAUAGCUGGUCUGAGAGGAUGAUCAGCCACACUGGGACUGAGACACGGCCCAGACUCCUACGGGAGGCAGCAGUGGGGAAUAUUGGACAAUGAGCGAAAGCCUGAUCCAGCAAUGCCGCGUGAGUGAUGAAGGCCGUAGGGUUGUAAAGCUCUUUUACCCGGGGUGAUAAUGACAGUAUCGGGAGAAUAAGCUCCGGCUAACUCCGCG